CGAGGAUUCCCAUAGUAACGGCGAGUGAAAGGGGAAGAGCCCAGCGCUGAAUCCAUCGAUCACUGGUCGCUUGGAAUUGUAGCGUAUAGGUGCGGCUAUCCGCUCGUUUCGUGCACCCAAAGUCCCCUUGAGCGGGGCCAUAGUCCAAAGAAGGUGCUAGACCUGUACGGGUGGCGAGGCGGUCGGUUGGUCGCUCCUUGGAGUCGGGUUGCCUGGGAUCGCAGCCCAAAGUUGGUGGUAGACCUCAUCUAAGGCUAAAUAUGGCCACGAAACCGAUAGCAAACAAGUACCGUGAGGGAAAGUUGCAAAGAACUUUGAAGAGAGAGUUCAAGAGGGCGUGAAACCGCCGAGAUUGAAACGGAUAGAGUUGACGAAACUCGAUCGCAUUCAUCCGAUCCGCCUAGCGGUUCGGCGGUUGUUGACUUCCUCGAUGAGGGCAACGCCGUCGCUGGCUGUUGGGUGUUAGAUUGGUGUAUUUGCGGUCGGUAUGCGCCGAGAGCUUUGCGAGCGCAUGUUGACGUUGAUGUAGUGGACCACUCCCUCCGGGCGUGGAACCCUGCAUUGAUUGAGGCAUGUCGUUCGUAGGGUGUUGCUGGGUGACGUCUCCGCUAUGGUGGGUCGGCUUUGUUGGGCUGUUGCGGUUGCUGGGUGAUCGCAUGCGAGCGCCUGCAGCUUGCGAUGGUACGAUGAGGUGCGGACGCGCUUGAGACGUGCAUCUCGGUGUGAACGUUGACCACCUAUCCGACCCGUCUUGAAACACGGACCAAGGAGUCUAGCAUAUGCGCGAGUCAUUGGGUGGUAAACCUAAAGGCGUAAUGAAAGUAAAGGUCGUCUUGUUACGGCUGAUAUGGGAUCUGUGMGGUUUUCGAGCCACGCAGCGCACCAUAGCCCCGUCCCGGUUGCUUGCAAUGGGGCGGAGGUAGAGCGCAUACGCUGGGACCCGAAAGAUGGUGAACUAUGCCUGAGCAGGAUGAAGCCAGAGGAAACUCUGGUGGAAGUCCGAAGCGGUUCUGACGUGCAAAUCGAUCGUCUGACUUGGGUAUAGGGGCGAAAGACUAAUCGAACCAUC
rnacentral:rRNA from 1 species